AUGCCGGCGUCGCCUCUCCCUCUGGCUGUUGCACCGCCCGGCCGCGUGUCGUUGAACCACCAGGUUCCCCGUGCCGCGUGUGCCCUCUGCUCCGGACUAUUCUGCGCUGAGUCGCCUCGUCGGUCUGAUUUCUUUACUGCAAGCCACAUCCUCUACAUCCAAGCUGGCCUUCAGCUUCAGUACGGCGGAAGUCGCCUCCGCCAUGAGCCGCCCUUGCCGACCUCACACCGAGUCCCCGUUGUUCUUGCUGCCAAAGCCGCCCUGGCCUCGACUCCGAUCCGCCGCCUGUCCAAGCGCACCUCGCCUAGCCGUCUGAGUCGCGUCGAGCCGGCCUCGCCCCUGCUUCCAGUCACCACCUCAAGUCACCAUCACCGCGGCCUCUCCCGCCGCGUCGAGCCGACGUGGCCAGCUUUAAGCCACCCAGCCUCGCGACCGCCUCAACUGUGGCCUCGCGCCUCCGACUUGAGCGCAGCCUUGCCGCCUCGCUGUUGCGGCGAGCCGCCGUCGCCCUCGCGCUUUGUCUCCGCUGAGAACGACGUCAAACCUGCCUGUCCGAGCCACGGUCUUCGCUCGAGUCACUGGGUCUCCGCACUUCGUUCAGCCCACAGUCGCGGUUCCACCUCGCGCCGUUUGUCCGCCGCAGUUGCCUCGCGCCUCAAGUAUCGCCGGUCUACCGUUUGCCUCUGCUCCUCCGGCCGCCAAGCUACCCGACUCUUUUUCCGUUCUGCCACCGUGGCUGCUGUAUACAUGGUCACAAGGGCGAGGGUAGAAGCUAGUGCUAGUUAUGAAGCAUGCAUACGGCCAACCUCGAUUUCAUAUGAACCACUCAACGGCUAUCAAUGCAAUUACCUACUGCUGCAACACACGAGGAGCAGAGAAACAAAAACACAUGGACAAGGUUAUGUGCUCAUCACUCUAAGGCCGCUAUGUACGGGACGUCAAAAGUACUAUGUUUACACUGGAUGGGUUGCAACAUUAUCAAGUGUCACCGCAAUGAUCAUCAACUUCACGGUGGAUAAAUAUCAGGUGAAAUCCAUCCGGAUGGGGUUAAUAUAUCAUUGCGAUUUGAAGGACUCAUACCGGUUUAUAUCACGGUCAAAUAUGGAGAGUCUCAAGACAACUCCUCGAGUAGUCUUAAGACUCAGGGGCUACAAUGACAUGACUCGGGAACUCCAGGUCAUUGGGGGAAUGAUAACCCGGUUCCGGAGGACACCGCCAUAUUGA
rnacentral:rRNA from 1 species